rnacentral:lncRNA from 1 species
ACCAACGCAUCAGGCUAACCACAGUAUAUGCUCCACAGUUUCAGCAGAUUGCUCACAAUUUAAAGAGCCAAUGCUUAUUUAAGAGCAUCAAUGCAUAAGAAAGAGCCAAUGACCUGAAGGGGUAGAGAAACGCACCAAGUAAGGUGCAGAACCAGUGACCCGAAGGGCCAAAGAAACACACCAAGAAAGGUGCAGAACCAGUGACCCGAAGGGCCAAAGAAACACACCUAGAAAGGUGCAAUUCUCCAGAAGUUUAAAAUAAAGUCAGCAGAGCAAAGUACAAACAAUCCCACCACAAACUAUCUAUUUAUACUGCAGAAAUUAUAAAACAAAAAAG